UACGGAGGGUGCAAGCGUUAUCCGGAUUCACUGGGUUUAAAGGGUGCGUAGGUGGGCAAGUAAGUCAGUGGUGAAAUCCCCGAGCUCAACUCGGGAACUGCGUCCGAUACUGGCGGGCUUGAAUCCGGGAGAGGGAUGCGGAAUUCCAGGUGUAGCGGUGAAAUGCGUAGAUAUCUGGAGGAACACCGGUGGCGAAGGCGGCAUCCUGGACCAAUUCUGACGCUGAGGAGCGAAAGCAUGGGGAGCGAACAGG
rnacentral:rRNA from 1 species